rnacentral:rRNA from 1 species
AGCUCCAAUAGCGUAUAUUAAAGUUGUUGCGGUUAAAAAGCUCGUAGUUGGAUCUCGGCAGGCAGGGGGUGGUUCGCUCCUUAGCGCUACUGCCCCAUUUGCCUGUGUGAUUGGCAGAGGUUUCGGGGUGCCCUUUAUUGAGUGACCCGGAGCGCUGUCAGGUUUACUUUGAAAAAAUUAGAGUGCUCAAAGCAGGCUUUUCACGCUUGAAUAUUCGUGCAUGGAAUAAUUGAAUAGGAACUCGUUUCUAUUUUGUUGGUUUUCGGAAAUCGAGUUAAUGAUUAAUAGGGACAAUUGGGGGCAUUAGUAUUCAGACGACAGAGGUGAAAUUCUUGGACCGUCUGAAGACUAACUACUGCGAAAGCAUUUGCCAAGAGUGUUUUCAUUAAUCAAGAACGAA